UACGGAGGUGGCAAGCGUUGUCCGGAUUUACGGGGCGUAAAGAGCGCGCAGGCGGUCGUUCAAGUCGCGUGUGAAAGCCCCCGGCUCAACUGGGGAGGGUCACGCGAUACUGAUCGACUGGAAGGCAGGAGAGGGUAGUGGAAUUCCCGGUGUAGUGGUGAAAUGCGUAGAUAUCGGGAGGAACACCAGUGGCGAAGGCGACUACCUGGCCUGUUCUUGACGCUGAGGCGCGAAAGCUAGGGGAGCAAACGGG
rnacentral:rRNA from 1 species